ensembl:snoRNA
UGAGUCAGUGAUGACUACUGGUAGUGUAUGAGUUAUAUAUGAUGAAUACAUAUCUGGAACUCUGAGGUCCAU